rnacentral:lncRNA from 1 species
GUAGGGAAGUAGGAGCAGGGAAGAUUGGGGAGCAGGGGCUAAAGGAGGAAAAAAGUCCCUCAGACUAAGGAGGAAUACUGGGUAGGGGGGAAAGCAUCAGAGCAGGGCCCAUAGAGGGGUGGGGCAGGGGGAGAAAGGGUUGAGAGGUUUUGUUAAGGGUGGAGGAGUGGGAGGAGAGAUUGGUAGUGAGAGACGUGCUUAAGGGACUGCUCAGUUUGAAGUAGAUUGGAGACAUUUUCUCAUGUUUCAGCCUCCUUGGACCAAGCAAAAUAAGCUGACCUUUGAAGAGAACAGAUCUUGAGGGGGAUCUGUAGAUGGACACAGGGAGAUUCCAGGUGCCUCAGAGGGAUCAACUUGCAGUUCCAAGUUGUCCUCAGGGAAAUCUUGCCAUUUUUUGGGAUAAUGAACUGAAUUCUCAUCACAGUGGAAUACGUAUCAUCGGAAGGGAUUUUUAAAGGGCAGGGUGAGAAGUGGAUUGAGAAUUUCGCAUAGCACCAAGGUUAAACAGAAGCCAACUACGAAACAAAGCCAGAAGGGCACUCAAGCAAAUAAUCAAAAUCAAAUCCUUACCACGCUGCCAGGGACCGAUAUAUCCAGAGCAUGGGACCAGGAGCUGGACUCACGGUGGGAUCUCUGAUCAGUCACAGAAGGAGCUUGACGAGCUCAUGGGGUCUCUCUCCCUAGGUGGAGAAGACAGGGCUCCAAAUGGACUUCCAGUCCCAUCCACGUCACAGAGGCAAAUUGUCAGAGACAAAGACCUAAGCCGGUCCUUUUCCAGGAGUAAAUGACCAUCGUGCGCCCAUGGGAAGAGUGCUGCAUCCACGGAGGACAUGGGCCAACAGUGCUCUCAAAUGGGUUUCAUGAAAGCAUCUGUGACUCAUCCCUGUUCAAGAAUGUUUUCAUUACGAUUCAGCAGAAGCGAUGUGCCAGGUCAGCAAAUACAACUGCAAAACCGGGGCCUGCCAGCCUGGCCAACACAGCAAGACCCCGUCUCUACUAAAAAGUAAAAUUAAAAUUAGCUGAGUAUGGUGGUGCGUGGCUGCAGUCUCAGUUACUCAGGAGGCUAAGGUGGGAGGGUCACUUGAGUCCAGGAGGCCGGGGCUGCAGGGAGCCGUGAUCGCACCACUGCACUCCAGCCUGACGCCGUCUCAAAAACAAAACAAAAAAAACCCAGGGCCUGAAUGCAAAGUGAACACUUGCUCCUGUUAAUCGUAGCACUUGCAUUACAGGCCUGGUGGCUCCUAGCAUCCGUCCGCAGCACAAGGCCAUGUUGUGUAGUGGCACAUCCCCAGUCCAGCCGCGGGGAGCUGCCUGCAAGGGGAGGUGGUGAGCAAACAGCUGCGCAGCAGCAGGGAAGCGUCAUCUCCAUCUCACUUCAUGGCCCUCCCCAGCUGCUGCAGAGAUGCUGGGGGUCCCUUCUACAGGCAGGCCUGUGUUCUAAUGAGAGCCAGGAGACUGGCAAGAUUAAGCAGAGUCCUCAUGAGUGAUCUGGAAAAC